rnacentral:rRNA from 1 species
UACGUAGGGUGCAAGCGUUGUCCGGAAUUAUUGGGCGUAAAGAGCUCGUAGGCGGUCUGUCGCGUCGGCUGUGAAAACCCGGAGCUCAACUCCGGGCCUGCAGUCGAUACGGGCAAACUGGAGUGCUGCAGGGGAGACUGGAAUUCCUGGUGUAGCGGUGAAAUGCGCAGAUAUCAGGAGGAACACCGGUGGCGAAGGCGGGUCUCUGGGCAACAACUGACGCUGAGGAGCGAAAGCUGGGGGAGCAAACAGG